AUUAUAAAUAUUUUAUAAUUUUUUUUACUGCCAUUAAAAUAAUUUUAAAAAAAUAUGUAUUCCGAAAUGUAACAAGGUAUUUGCUGAAGUUUCCUAAUCCUAUACAAUAAGGGUUGAAGAAUGUUUUUAUCUUGGCAGGAGCUUAUCAAAUCAAAUGAUUUUAAACGACUCCUAAAUAAAUUAUGGAAUUUGUGACAACAGAAAUUGUGAAUUGAUUAUCCUAUACAAUUCAAAUAAAAUUAUAUUGCAUUAAAAAAUUAAAUAAUAUUUAUAAUUAUGCCAUAAAGGUGUUUUAAACUAUAUUCCAAUUAUAUUCGUAUUUGUUUAUAUUUGUUAUAGAAUGUUUUAUUGAUUAUAUGCUUAUUUUCGCUUAUUCGUUGAAAAUUAUAACAUACAUUUUUUAUAAUUUUUUCCUUCUUUAUUCUUCCAUCAAUAUUGUAGCUAUAAUAUUCGAAUAAAAAUAUACUACUCUUAUUCCACAAUCUAUUUAUAUUA